rnacentral:tRNA from 1 species
GGCGAGAUGGCCGAGCGGUCUAAGGCGCCAGACUAAGGAUCUGGUCCUAACGGGCGUGGGUUCGAAUCCCACUCUCGUCA